AAAAAUGCAACUUGGGAAAUGGGUUGUGGAUCUUGUUCUCAUAUUUUCACUUCUCAGUCCUCAGUUCUCCGGAAGUGUGGCAGAGACAACAUCCUCUUCAACACCAAUCUGUUCAGAAGAAGACAGAGCUUCUCUUCUCAGAUUCAAAGCAAGCAUUUCACAGGACACAACAGAAACACUGUCCACGUGGACUAGCAGAGACUGCUGCGAUGGUGGGUGGGAAGGGGUUCAGUGCAAUCCAUCCA
rnacentral:misc_RNA from 1 species